GUGGGGAAUCUUCCGCAAUGGACGAAAGUCUGACGGAGCAACGCCGCGUGAGUGAAGAAGGUUUUCGGAUCGUAAAGCUCUUUCGUUAGGGACGAACGUGCUCUUUGUGAAUAAUGAGGAGUAAUGACGGUACCUAAAUAAGAAGCCACGGCUAACUACGUGCCAGCAGCCGCGGUAAUACGUAGGUGGCAAGCGUUGUCCGGAAUUAUUGGGCGUAAAGCGCGCGCAGGCGGGAUAUCAAGUCUGUCUUAAAAGUGCGAGGCUCAACCUCGUGAGGGGACAGAAACUGGUAUUCUUGAGUGUCGGAGAGGAAAGUGGAAUUCCAAGUGUAGCGGUGAAAUGCGUAGAGAUUUGGAAGAACACCAAUGGCGAAGGCGACUUUCUGGACGAUGUCUGACGCUGAGGCGCGAAAGCUAGGGGAGCGAACGGGAUUAGAAACCCCAGUAGUCC
rnacentral:rRNA from 1 species